AUGCCAGCACUCCGGUGGCUCCGUCUUUGCUGGCGUGCUCCAUUAAGGAAUAGUGACGACGCUGGCAUUGGCUUCGAGCAUCUUUCAAGUCUUACUGACCUCCAGGUAGUAAUUGAUUGUUUUACUGCAACUCUGGACGAGGUGGAGACUCUGGAAGGUUUCGCUUUGCAUCCCAACCGUCACAAUCUUCAGUUCCAUCUCAGUAGAUUAUUUGAAAUGAUGAUCGGGGUGAUGGCAGAGGAGGAGGAAAGGCAGAAGGAAAGGCGUAGGAGAGAAGGUUACGGGUUAUUUGAAAUGAUGAUCUGA
rnacentral:rRNA from 1 species